rnacentral:sRNA from 1 species
CACCUGCCAUGCUGUGAGGACAUUCAAACUGCCUAUGGAGAGGUCCAUAUAGUGAAAAACUAAGGCCCCUGCCAAAACCCAUAUCAGAUACCAUCAGCAUAAUGUCAUCGAUGCAGUGGACCAAUGUGACAUGGGGAACAUAAAGAUGGUCACGAUUUUUGCAGACUCCAUAUGCAAAGUAUCAUAGGCCUUUCCAUCUAUCCGGAGUGACCUACCAGAGACAGGACAGUUUGACCAGCAAGCUUCUGAUCACUCUUCAACACCCAGCAAGAAGUCUUAUCCUCCAUGCAGCCUUCUAAGACCUCUCUAAGCACAGGUAUCAGACCCUCCUCUGGAUCACUCUGUCUUGUUACUGCAUUUAUCUCACUGGAUUUCAGUGAAGUGUGUAGACAACUAAUUUGUGCCUGUCUGAUCUGUGAGCUCUUCAUUCAAAGCAGUUGGCUCCUGAGUACAGGAUAAACCCCUAGAAUUGAAUAAAUUUGGUCUUACCUCA